rnacentral:rRNA from 1 species
UGACGACCGGCGCACGGGUGCGGAACGCGUAUGGAACCUGCCCCUGUCAGGGGAAUAGCCCAGGGAAACUUGGAUUAAUGCCCCAUGGUAUCGUUUUAUCGCAUGAUAUUACGAUUAAAGAUUUAUCGGACAGGGAUGGCCAUGCGUACCAUUAGUUAGUUGGUGAGGUAACGGCUUACCAAGGCAGCGAUGGUUAGGGGCCCUGAGAGGGGGAUC